rnacentral:rRNA from 1 species
GUUGUAUGGUUAAGUGACUAAGCGUACACGGUGGAUGCCUUGGCAGUCAGAGGCGAUGAARGACGUAGUAACUUGCGAUAAGCCCAGAUUAGGUAGUAACAACCAUUUGAGUCUGGGAUUUCYGAAUGGGGAAACCCACKURCAUAAGYAMGUAUCCUUACCUGAAUACAUAGGGUAAGGAGGCGAACCGGGGGAACUGAAACAUCUAAGUACCCCGAGGAAAAGAAAUCAACCGAGAUUCCGAAAGUAGCGGCGAGCGAAAUUGGACUAGCCCUUAAGCUUUACAYGCGUUAGACGAACGGUCUGGAAAGUCCGACGAUACAGGGUGAUAGUCCCGUAGUUGACGACGUGUGUUCAGUGAAAUCGAGUAGGGCGGGACACGUGAUAUCCUGUCUGAAUAUGGGGGGACCAUCCUCCAAGGCUAAAUACUACUGACUGACCGAUAGUGAACCAGUACCGUGAGGGAAAGGCGAAAAGAACCCCUGUGAGGGGAGUGAAAUAGAACCUGAAACCGUGUACGUACAAGCAGUAGGAGCAGGCUUUGUCCUGUGACUGCGUACCUUUUGUAUAAUGGGUCAGCGACUUAUAUUCAGUGGCAAGGUUAACCAUCUAGGGGAGCCGUAGGGAAACCGAGUCUUAACUGGGCGUUCAGUCUCUGGAUAUAGACCCGAAACCAGGUGAUCUAGCCAUGGGCAGGUUGAAGGUUGAGUAACAUCAACUGGAGGACCGAACCGACUAAUGUUGAAAAAUUAGCGGAUGACUUGUGGCUAGGGGUGAAAGGCCAAUCAAACCUGGAGAUAGCUGGUUCUCCCCGAAAGCUAUUUAGGUAGCGCCUCGGACGAAUACUACUGGGGGUAGAGCACUGUUAAGGCUAGGGGGUCAUCCCGACUUACCAACCCUUUGCAAACUCCGAAUACCAGUAAGUACUAUCCGGGAGACACACGGCGGGUGCUAACGUCCGUCGUGGAGAGGGAAACAACCCAGACCGCCAGCUAAGGUCCCAAAUUACUACUAAGUGGGAAACGAUGUGGGAAGGCUCAGACAGCCAGGAUGUUGGCUUAGAAGCAGCCAUCAUUUAAAGAAAGCGUAAUAGCUCACUGGUCGAGUCGGCCUGCGCGGAAGAUGUAACGGGGCUAAGUAGUAAACCGAAGCUGCGGCAAUGUGCUUUUGCACAUUGGGUAGGGGAGCGUUCUGUAAGCGGUUGAAGGUGUGUGGUAACGCAUGCUGGACGUAUCAGAAGUGCGAAUGCUGACAUGAGUAACGAUAAAGGGGGUGAAAAACCUCCUCGCCGGAAGACCAAGGGUUCCUGUCCAACGUUAAUCGGGGCAGGGUAAGUCGACCCCUAAGGCGAGGCCGAAAGGCGUAGUCGAUGGGAAACGGGUUAAUAUUCCCGUACUUCUUACAAUUGCGAUGGGGGGACGGAGAAGGCUAGGUGGGCCUGGCGACGGUUGUCCAGGUUCAAGUGCGUAGGCUUAAGAGUUAGGUAAAUCCGGCUCUUUUUAAGGCUGAGACACGACGUCGAGCACCUACGGGUGUGAAGUCAUUGAUGCCAUGCUUCCAGGAAAAGCCUCUAAGCUUCAGAUUGUAAGGAAUCGUACCCCAAACCGACACAGGUGGUCGGGUAGAGAAUACCAAGGCGCUUGAGAGAACUCGGGUGAAGGAACUAGGCAAAAUGGUACCGUAACUUCGGGAGAAGGUACGCUCUCGACGGUGAAGUCCCUCGCGGAUGGAGCUAUUGAGAGUCGCAGAUACCAGGUGGCUGCAACUGUUUAUUAAAAACACAGCACUGUGCAAAAUCGUAAGAUGACGUAUACGGUGUGACGCCUGCCCGGUGCCGGAAGGUUAAUUGAUGGGGUUAGACUUCGGUCGAAGCUCUUGAUCGAAGCCCCGGUAAACGGCGGCCGUAACUAUAACGGUCCUAAGGUAGCGAAAUUCCUUGUCGGGUAAGUUCCGACCUGCACGAAUGGCGUAAUGAUGGCCACGCUGUCUCCACCCGAGACUCAGUGAAAUUGAAAUCGCUGUGAAGAUGCAGUGUACCCGCGGCUAGACGGAAAGACCCCGUGAACCUUUACUACAGCUUGGCACUGAACAUUGACCCUACAUGUGUAGGAUAGGUGGGAGGCUUUGAAGCACGUACGCCAGUAUGUGUGGAGCCGUCCUUGAAAUACCACCCUUGUAGUGUUGAUGUUCUAACGUCGRCCCCUAAUCGGGGUUGCGGACAGUGCCUGGUGGGUAGUUUGACUGGGGCGGUCUCCUCCCAAAGAGUAACGGAGGAGCACGAAGGUGGGCUAAUCACGGUUGGACAUCGUGAGGUUAGUGCAAUGGCAUAAGCCCGCUUGACUGCGAGAAUGACAAUUCGAGCAGGUGCGAAAGCAGGUCAUAGUGAUCCGGUGGUUCUGAAUGGAAGGGCCAUCGCUCAACGGAUAAAAGGUACUCCGGGGAUAACAGGCUGAUACCGCCCAAGAGUUCAUAUCGACGGCGGUGUUUGGCACCUCGAUGUCGGCUCAUCACAUCCUGGGGCUGAAGUCGGUCCCAAGGGUAUGGCUGUUCGCCAUUUAAAGUGGUACGCGAGCUGGGUUUAGAACGUCGUGAGACAGUUCGGUCCCUAUCUGCCGUGGGCGUUGGAAGAUUGAAGGGGGCUGCUCCUAGUACGAGAGGACCGGAGUGGACGAACCUCUGGUGUUCGGGUUGUGUCGCCAGACGCAUUGCCCGGUAGCUAAGUUCGGAAUCGAUAACCGCUGAAAGCAUCUAAGCGGGAAGCGAGCCYUGAGAUGAGUCUUCCCUGAUACUUUAAGUAUCCUAAAGGGUUGUCGGAGACUACGACGUUGAUAGGUCAGGUGUGUAAGUGCUGUGAGGCAUUGAGCUAACUGAUACUAAUUGCCCGUGAGGCUUAACCAUACAACACCCAAGGGGUUU